rnacentral:rRNA from 1 species
GACGAACGCUGGCGGCGUGCUUAACACAUGCAAGUCGAACGGAAAGGCCCUGCUUUUGUGGGGUGCUCGAGUGGCGAACGGGUGAGUAACACGUGAGUAACCUGCCCUUGACUUUGGGAUAACUUCAGGAAACUGGGGCUAAUACCGGAUAGGAGCUCCUGCUGCAUGGUGGGGGUUGGAAAGUUUCGGCGGUUGGGGAUGGACUCGCGGCUUAUCAGCUUGUUGGUGGGGUAGUGGCUUACCAAGGCUUUGACGGGUAGCCGGCCUGCGAGGGUGACCGGCCACAUUGGGACUGAGAUACGGCCCAGACUCCUACGGGGGGCAGCAGUGGGGAAUAUUGCACAAUGGGCGGAAGCCUGAUGCAGCAACGCCGCGUGCGGGAUGACGGCCUUCGGGUUGUAAACCGCUUUCGCCUGUGACGAAGCGUGAGUGACGGUAAUGGGUAAAGAAGCACCGGCUAACUACGUG